rnacentral:rRNA from 1 species
UGAAGUUAGCAAAGGGAAAGUUCAGUCGUACCGACGGGAAAUCAACUUCUCGAGUGCUUACCGUGGGUGACGUUGAGCUUUUACGGCCUUCGUUGCUUGUGUUGUUGGUGCUUUUGGGGUGUACUUUUCCGUAUGGUAGGUCAUCAUCGAUUUUGAUCGUCAUAAAAUGAUCGGGGGAAUGUAGCUUCGGUCUCGUAUCGGAGUGUUAUAGACCUUGGUAGAUGUGACGAUUGGGAUCGAGGAUUGCAACGAAUACCCUUUUGGGCUAUCUGUCUGUCCUCUGAAAGUCGCUCGGGGGUCGAAAGCGUGCUUAUGAUCAUUCGAGUUGGCGGUCAAUAGGAUAGAACGUGAUUAUA